GCCCGGAGAAUCCGAUAUGUCAACGCGAAGUAUCCAGGAUUCAAAUGUUUUCAACAUGUCUCAGUUGAAGCAACAUCUAGAAGAUGAGCACCGUAGGGGCGAAGGAAAAAUGUUGUUAGGUGAUGCAGGAUAUGCUUUACAACCGUAUAUGCUUUGAAGAAGUUUUUCCGCAAAUUCCCUUUUCAAUAUCUUCGUUUUCCUGCAUUAACUGCACCAAUAUUCCAAGUUGCCUUUUGUUGCUUAUAACUUUCGAUCUGAAAUUCAGAUAAUGAAUAGCGAUCAAAAAUCAUUCACAGUCGAUGGCUGAGCGAGAAAUCGACAUUCAUAAUACCAUAGGUAGUCGAUAAUCGAACAAUAAUCGUUUAUUUACUACUAGUCGACACUCGCAACAGGGGUGAUAACCUUUUAAAAAGGGUCCUCGAGCAGGACAAAAAGGCCAGUCCCGGGUGCCUAAAAAAAGGUGCCCAACGGAGGGUUAAAUGCGGCGCACAUUGCAACCAAUGCAAUUAACUCAAAAACUUGUUUUUUU